rnacentral:rRNA from 1 species
AGCGAACGUUAGCGGCGGGCCUAACACAUGCAAGUCGAACGCGAAAGGGAUUCGUCCCCGGUAGCGUGGCGUCCGGGUGAGUAACACGUAGGAAACCUUCCCUAAAGAGUGGGAUAACGUCCCGAAAGGGACGCUAAUACCGCAUAAGCUCACGCCGACCUUGGUCGGAGGGAGAAAAGAUGGCCUCUGUACACAAGCUAUCACUUUAGGAUGGUCCUGCGGCGCAUCAGCUAGUUGGUAGGGUAAUGGCCUACCAAGGCGAAGACGCGUAGCUGGUCUGAGAGGAUGAUCAGCCACACUGGCACUGAAACACGGGCCAGACUCCUACGGGAGGCAGCAGUGGGGAAUAUUGGACAAUGGGCGCAAGCCUGAUCCAGCCACGCCG